rnacentral:rRNA from 1 species
GACGGAGGAUGCAAGUGUUAAUCGGAAUUACUGGGCGUAAAGCGUGCGCAGGCGGUUAUGCAAGACAGAUGUGAAAUCCCCGGGCUCAACCUGGGAACUGCAUUUGUGACUGUAUAGCUAGAGUACGGUAGAGGGGGAUGGAAUUCCGCGUGUAGCAGUGAAAUGCGUAGAUAUGCGGAGGAACACCGAUGGCGAAGGCAAUCCCCUGGACCUGUACUGACGCUCAUGCACGAAAGCGUGGGGAGCAAACAGG